CAAAAAACAAGCCAGUGUCCACCCCAGGAUCCCAGGAGCAGCUUAGAGUCUUGAAGUCCUGAGUUUCACAAGAAAAGUCCUUGGGCUCCUCAAGCACUUCUGCCCAUAUGGAGAAAAAAGGCACAGAGCUUGCAGAAAGCCCAGGGGAUGUCAGAAAGUCAGACUUUGAGAACUGGCCAAACUCAGCAGCCGGGAGUCGAGUGAUCCAAAUACAAACACCUCAGAGACACCAGUCACUGCCUCUCCCAGGGCCACACUAAAAGGCCUCCUGCUUUCUGCAGCUAGGAGAUGGAAAUGGAGACCGCAAACAUCUUACACUUCCCAGGGGAAAUUGAGUCUUUCACAGGGGAAACCAAGGGCAAGUGAACACAGCGAUCUGAGACAGGAACUGGAAACCGCCCUCAAUAGGAGUGAAGGUGUCCUGCCACACGUGCCCCACCAGGGACUCCUUGUGAACACGAGCCUACUGGUGGGAUAGAAUCUUUGGUCUCUCCUCAAAUUCAGACCUGAGAGGGUCAGAUAAGGGUCUCUCAUGGAACAGCCAUGCUGUGGACAUGUGGUCACCGCUGGCCUGGGGAGGCUGCACUAGUCAUCUUGCACCUCUGACCACGGGAGUGAAGAAUGCUAGUGCUCUGCCUCUGUCACCUUAAGUCACACAGCAAAGCUCUCUGUGCCUUGGUUUUCUCCUCUGUUGCAGGCAAACUCUACUCUUAAGGAUCUUGAGCCCUGGUAAGUGACUGAACUAACUUCCACAACUGCUUUCCUUUGCAAAGAAGCUAUCCCAUGCUUCUAAUAUGAAAACAGAUACAAUAAAGGGAUCCAUGUUGCCAAUGGAAAACACUACUUUCUCUAACAUCAAAACAGAUAUGAUUUGCCUGUUAGAAAAAUAUGGAAUAGGAUCCAGCUGAUCUAUGGUUGAUGUUGGCUUUGCUAAUGGUGUUAAGUACUAGUUUUGCAAAAUUCCUCCAGCAGCCCCUUGUCCCAAUUUUUUUUUUCCUGGCCAUUCUUAGCCUUAAUAAGAUCUUUUCUUAGGGUUUCCUCGGCCCAAAUUUCUCACCAGUUUAUCCAUCAAAAAUAGAAAAAUUGGCCUGCUUAACAUGAGGUGGGAUGGCGGAAAGAUGAAAGUGCUGAUGGUAGGAAGGGAACAGCGACACAUGAGCGUUGCUAUUUUAUAAUCAGGAUGCUGAACAGUUCUCAUUGUGGGAAACUGUCUGUGAGCAGCUGGAUUAUAGACCUCGUAUGAAUCCUAAGUGGAAUCAAAAUUUUAUUUCCUACACGCCACUUUGCUCAGAUUUGAAAUGCACAGACAGGCAACUGAAGAUUUAGCAUUGGUAACCUUUUGGCUUUACUAAAGAGGUAACUUGCUAGAUCCCUCUGCCCAGGGGCUCCACUGCCCGAGAGAAGGCAGGUGUCCUAACGGAGUCCCUGAAACAGUCCUGUGCUCUCUUACCUGCAGAAGAAUUCUCAGGUCCCUUCAAUGAGAAACAUUCCAAUGUCCUUCACUUUCCUGUGACAAUGACUCACCCUUAUGUGUACGAAUUAUUCCCUAGACCAGCAAUGGUAGUGUAUAAAACCCAAGAUACCCCAGUGCACCAGAAGGGAAGUGUCACGAGACGCCACCAUGAAGCAAGAUGAGUGAAAAUUCACUCCAAAUCAUUCAAAUUGAAAAGGAUUGAUAUUAAAGAUUUUUAUAAUUGAAUUAUUUGGGCAGAAAACCCACCUGUGUGGAAACAAAAGAGCCCUAAGUUACUUUCCAACAGACCCAUGGAGAGCCUUUGCUGUCUAGAACAUAAAGUGCUGGGACUUACUCUGCCCUGCCUGUCAGCACAGUGGAAGUAAUGAAAAUGACAGGAACUUUGGCUGGCAAGAAAAAUGUUGCCAAAUUAUUAUAACAUAUUUAGAAAAAUCUCUGGUGGACAGAGAAGAAAUCGAGAAAAAGAAUGAGACAGCUGAUCUUCGUGGAUCUCAGGAAUUCAAUAUUCACAAACCCUCUUAGAGGACAGAGAAGAACUAAGAAAAUAGUCUGUUUUCUUACACAUUCCAUCAUUCCAAAGUGGUCAUAUUACAUUGUCCUGGAUAUUCCCUGAAGUUAAAAAAAAAAAGCAAACUUCUUUCAAAAAAGUGUUUUGAGCUUCUAAUGU